rnacentral:rRNA from 1 species
AGUGAACGCUGGCGAUAGGCCUAACACAUGCAAGUCGAACGGCAGCACAGUAAGAGCUUGCUCUUACGGGUGGCGAGUGGCGGACGGGUGAGGAAUACAUCGGAAUCUACUUUUUCGUGGGGGAUAACGUAGGGAAACUUACGCUAAUACCGCAUACGACCUACGGGUGAAAGCAGGGGAUCUUCGGACCUUGCGCGAUUGAAUGAGCCGAUGUCGGAUUAGCUAGUUGGCGGGGUAAAGGCCCACCAAGGCGACGAUCCGUAGCUGGUCUGAGAGGAUGAUCAGCCACACUGGAACGGAGACACGGUCCAGACUCCUACGGGAGGCAGCAGUGGGGAAUAUUGGACAAUGGGCGCAAGCCUGAUCCAGCCAUACCGCGUGGGUGAAGAAGGCCUUCGGGUUGUAAAGCCCUUUUGUUGGGAAAGAAAAGCAGCAGGUUAAUACCCCGCUGUUCUGACGGUACCCAAAGAAUAAGCACCGGCUAACUUCGUG